UAGGUUAUAACCUAAUAUAUAUAUCAAAUAAGAACUCCUAAAGGUUAAGAACCCUAAUAACCUAUAACUUUUAUCCUAUCAUCAAAUAAAUAUUUGUUAUUUAUCGAAUAAAUGUUAUUUUUGUCCAAUAAACUAAAACAAAAAAUGGUAUGAUGGUAAAUAAAACAAAACUUAAGCCUGAUUUUUUUUUUGUGUCUGUUCUUUCAGAUCUGAUCAUAAUUUCUCUUAGACAAAAAAAACCCUCUCAACUUCUUCUUCAUGUGGAUGAACAUCAACACCUCCACCACCGCCGACGACAACCUUUCCACCACCACACCGUCGACAACGGCCCUUUCCACCGACGGUAACCUUUCCACCACCACACCGCCGGCGACAACCCAUCCAGCGUCACAUCUCUUACUCUGUUGCAACCUCCAAUCACCGCCACCAUUUCCGAUGACGAAACAACCACUGUCAUCACUGUCGGGGUCUUAGUUCUCUGACGAAUGAACCAAAACCUUUAGCAAACGAACAUCAAAUCCUCGUAUGUGAUAUCCAACGAAGUUCCGACUAUCGUAUCCGAUGGUUUGUCAAGAGAUUUAUGAAUCCGGUAACUUUCCUUUACACUUCCUGCUCAAAUCUACUUCGAUUUUAGUGAUUCCAGUGGUUUUUCUAGUCCAUAUAUGUAUAGAUAUAAGUGAAUUCGAGUUUCAAUUGCUUCAAUCUUUGUUUCUGGCAUUAACUAUGUUGUUUCAAGCCAUCGUCGAUGUUCUUUUUGUUCCAGAUCUGAUUGAUAUUUAUUUUGAUGAUGAGCUCCGACGACGAUAGCUCAAAAUGAUACUUUAGGGAAUAAGUCGUCAAUGGUGCAAACAGAGAAGUAAAAGCAGCACCUACGAUUGGGAAUUAGAAAAGAGAAUAAUGAGACGUCGACAUUUUAUUAAUAUCAUAUUGAGUUGUAAUUCUCAAAGUUGCAAAAGUAAACAGGAGAAAAGGAAAAACUUAAAUUUUGAUGCUGCACUUUUGCAGUAAACAUGUAAAAUGAAGAUGCUGUUACUCGAAAGCUGUAAUUAGAACCAAAGUGGAGAUGCAUAAAUAAAUCUUAUUAUCAUUAGACAAUUAUACAAUUUUAUUAAGUUGUGAAUGUACAAUGUAUUAAGUUGUGAAUAGAUUAUUUAUUAAGUUGUGAAUUUAUGUUAAAAUACGAAUAAUUUAUGUAUAAAUAUUUGUAUUAAAUUUCUACUUACAUUUAUGAUGUAAGUUUUUUUC